rnacentral:lncRNA from 13 species
UCUAUCCAACUCUAUGGAGCAGACAGCCAAAUGGCACCCUAUUCCAUAUUUAGCGCACAAAAGUAGUAGCAGAUGUGACCUUUGAGCUUUUUGUCACUCCCUAGCGUUCAGGGUUUAUUGCUCUGGGCUGUACCUAAAUGUCAUAUACAGUAUUAAGAACAACAAGAGUGUCAGUUACAUAACUUGUGUUACUGUACUGAUGUGUUUAGUGGCUAUGAUGCAGUUGUAAAAGCUUCAUUCUCAGAUCCCUGGUUCCUUGUGUCCUCCAUUCAUAACUUAACCUUGUUUAGGUUAGUAGUCAUAGUGUUGUCUAGAUGGACAGUAUAGUUGUAGUAGGUUAGUAGUCAUAGUGUUGUCUAGAUGGACAGUAUAGUUGUAGUCGUCAUAGUGUUGUCUAGAUGGACAGUAUAGUUGUAGUAGUCAUAGUGUUGUCUAGAUGGACAGUAUAGUUGUAGUAGGUUAGUAGUCAUAGUGAUGUCUAGAUUGA